rnacentral:rRNA from 1 species
CGCUGGCGGCGUGCCUAACACAUGCAAGUCGAACGGAACUUCUUUAAAGGAUUUCUUCGGAAUGAAUUUGAUUAAGUUUAGUGGCGGACGGGUGAGUAACGCGUGAGUAACCUGCCUCUAAGAGGGGAAUAACAUUCUGAAAAGAAUGCUAAUACCGCAUAAUAUAUAUUUAUCGCAUGGUAGAUAUAUCAAAGAUUUAUCGCUUAGAGAUGGACUCGCGUCCGAUUAGUUAGUUGGUGAGGUAACGGCUCACCAAGACCGCGAUCGGUAGCCGGACUGAGAGGUUGAACGGCCACAUUGGGACUGAGACACGGCCCAGACUCCUACGGGAGGCAGCAGUGGGGGAUAUUGCGCAAUGGGGAAACCCUGACGCAGCAACGCCGCGUGAAGGAUGAAGGUCUUCGGAUUGUAAACUUCUUUUAUUAAGGACGAAGAAAGUGACGGUACUUAAUGAAUAAGCUCCGGCUAACUACGUG